AUUGAACGCUGGCGGCAUGCCUUACACAUGCAAGUCGAACGAGUGGCGGACGGGUGAGUAAUGUAUCGGAACGUGCCCAGUGGAGGGGGAUAACUACUCGAAACUGUGGCUAAUACCGCAUACUAUUGGAUCGGCCGAUAUCGGAUUAGCUGGUUGGGGGGGUAAAGGCUCACCAAGGCGACGAUCCGUAGCUGGUUUGAGAGGACGACCAGCCACACUGGAACUGAGACACGGCCCAGACUCCUACGGGAGGCAGCAGUGGGGAAUAUUGGGCAAUGGGCGAAAGCCUGAUCCAGCCAUGCCGCGUGUAUGAAGAAGGCCUUCGGGUUGUAAAGUACUUUCAGUCGGGAGGCGUUACCCACAGAAGAAGCACCGGCUAACUCCGUGCCAGCAGCCGCGGUAAUUC
rnacentral:rRNA from 1 species